GUAGUCAUACGCUCGUCUCAAAGAUUAAGCCAUGCAUGUGUAAGUAUAAAUAGUUAACUUUGAAACUGCGAAUGGCUCAUUAUAUCAGUUAUAGUUUAUUUGAUGAAAUGUACUAAUUGGAUAACCGUAGUAAUUCUAGAGCUAAUACAUGUAUAAAGUCUUGUAGACUGCAUUUAUUAGAAUGAAAACCAUAGGUUUCGGCCUAUUCGUGAGUAAUAAUAACUAAUCAUAUCGUAUGCUUAUGUAACGAUGUGUCUUUCAAGUUUCUGCCCUAUCAGCUUUCGAUGGUAGUGUAUUGGACUACCAUGGCGGUAACGGGUAACGAAG
rnacentral:rRNA from 1 species